rnacentral:rRNA from 1 species
UAGCUAGUUGGUGAGGUAAAGGCUUACCAAGGCGACGAUCUGUAGCGGGUCUGAGAGGAUGAUCCGCCACACUGGAACUGAGACACGGUCCAGACUCCUACGGGAGGCAGCAGUGGGGAAUUUUGGACAAUGGGGGCAACCCUGAUCCAGCCAUGCCGCGUGAGUGAAGAAGGCCUUCGGGUUGUAAAGCUCUUUCGGCCGGGAAGAAAUCGCAUGGGCCAAUACCCUGUGUGGAUGACGGUACCGGAAUAAGAAGCACCGGCUACUACGUGCCAGCAGCCGCGGUAAUACGUAGGGUGCGAGCGUUAAUCGGAAUUACUGGGCGUAAAGCGUGCGCAGGCGGUUUUGUAAGACAGGCGUGAAAUCCCCGGGCUUAACCUGGGAACUGCGUUUGUGACUGCAAGGCUAGAGUACGGCAGAGGGGGGUGGAAUUCCACGUGUAGCAGUGAAAUGCGUAGAGAUGUGGAGGAACACCAAUGGCGAAGGCAGCCCCCUGGGUCGAUACUGACGCUCAUGCACGAAAGCGUGGGUAGCAAACAGGAUUAGAUACCCUGGUAGUCCACGCCCUAAACUAUGUCAACUAGGUGUUGGGUGGGUAAAACCAUUUAGUACCGUAGCUAACGCGUGAAGUUGACCGCCUGGGGAGUACGGCCGCAAGGUUAAAACUCAAAGGAAUUGACGGGGACCCGCACAAGCGGUGGAUGAUGUGGAUUAAUUCGAUGCAACGCGAAAAACCUUACCUACCCUUGACAUGCCAGGAACUUGCCAGAGAUGGCUUGGUGCCCGAAAGGGAGCCUGGACACAGGUGCUGCAUGGCUGUCGUCAGCUCGUGUCGUGAGAUGUUGGGUUAAGUCCCGCAACGAGCGCAACCCUUGUCGUUAAUUGCCAUCAUUUAGUUGGGCACUUUAACGAGACUGCCGGUGACAAACCGGAGGAAGGUGGGGAUGACGUCAAGUCCUCAUGGCCCUUAUGGGUAGGGCUUCACACGUCAUACAAUGGUCGGUACAAAGGGUUGCCAAGCCGCGAGGCGGAGCCAAUCCCAGAAAGCCGAUCGUAGUCCGGAUUGCAGGCUGCAACUCGCCUGCAUGAAGUCGGAAUCGCUAGUAAUCGUGGAUCAGCAUGUCACGGUGAAUACGUUCCCGGGUCUUGUACACACCGCCCGUCGCACCAUGGGAGCGGGUUCCGCCAGAAGUAGGUAGCCUAACCGCAAGGGGGGCGCUUACCACGGCGGGGUUCGUGACUGGGGUGAAGUCGUAACAAGGUAGCCGUAGGGGAACCUGCGGCUG